GCCAGACUCCUACGGGAGGCAGCAGUGGGGGAUAUUGCACAAUGGGGGAAACCCUGAUGCAGCGACGCCGCGUGAGUGAAGAAGUAUUUCGGUAUGUAAAGCUCUAUCAGCAGGGAAGAAAAAAGACGGUACCCGACUAAGAAGCCCCGGCUAACUACGUGCCAGCAGCCGCGGUAAUACGUAGGGGGCAAGCGUUAUCCGGAUUUACUGGGUGUAAAGGGAGCGUAGACGGCAAUACAAGUCGGAAGUGAAAUACCCGGGCUCAACCUGGGAACUGCUUUGGAAACUGUAUGGCUGGAGUGCUGGAGAGGUAAGCGGAAUUCCUAGUGUAGCAGUGAAAUGCGUAGAUAUUAGGAGGAACACCAGUGGCGAAGGCGGCUUACUGGACAGUAACUGACGUUGAGGCUCGAAAGCGUGGGGAGCAAACAGGAUUAGAUACCCGCGUA
rnacentral:rRNA from 1 species